CCGGAGAUGGAGAGCGCCAGAGGGAAGGCCCUGGCACAGGACCCGGUUGCCUGUGCGCGCCAGCCUUCUCAGAAACCCCACUGUCGCCCCUGCUCUAUUGGUGUGUAUCUUGCAGGGCUGGUGAGAUGACUUAGCUGAUACAGGUGCUCAUCAUGCAAGCCUGGAGGCCUGAGUUUGAUCCUUGGAACCCAGGGAAAGAAGGAAUUAAGAGAAUUGUCUCUUCAAAGUUCUCGGACUUCCACAUGUGUGCCCUGGCAAUCACACAGUAAGUUACUUUAAACAAAACCCCAAAUGUACCCUUUACCAUGUAUUAGUAAUUUUCUUACUCUUAACCAUGUCUUUUUCUACUUCAACUAUUCCUUUUGCCUAGACUCUAGACCAGUGGUUCUCAACCUGUAGGGCAUGACACAUCCUGAAUAUCAGAUUUUUACAUGGCGAUUCCUAACUAGCAACAUUUCAGUUUUGAAUUAGUAACAAAAUAAUGUUAUGGUUGGGGGUCACCACAGUGUAAGGAACUGUAUUAAGUAAGGGGUUGCAGCAUUAGGAAGGCUGAGAACCACUGUGCUAGACCAUUCUGGCACUCACCCUCACUUGUUUUUCUCUAAGUGAACUCUUGAUUCUGAAUUGGAGCAGUAAUCAUCACCCUCUUCAGAGUUGGCAUUUCUCAGCAGACGGACUCCCUUUUGAGAUUAGGUCUAUGCUGCCCAGGCUGGCUAGAACUUAGGAGGCUUAAAUCACCAGCUUCCCACUAGAUGUGACUAUAGACAGACAUAGGCCAUCAUGACUGGCAACUUUCUCCACCUCCGUCAAUACCUAGCACACUGUGCUUUGUGCAUGCUGGGAAGAAUGCACAAAAGGUGGUAAGAAACCUGGGUAAGUGGUUAGAACGAUCCAAUUGUUGGUUUUCCUUUGGGGAUCCUGGAUGUCUGAGCUCAAAUUUAGUAAAAGGCAACAGAAUUCUUCCUAAGAGUUGUAUAUUAUAACUCAUCUUGUGAUAGUUACUGGCAUUAUUUUUAUUUAUAUAAGCAAAAGUCAAGAUCCUGGUAGAUCUACUGUACUGAUUUGCUAAGGGCAAUGAUUGUAGCUUUGUAAGAUACUGGUAUUCGGACAGCAGAGAGAAAGGAGCUACAAGUAUUAAGAGUUCAGGAAAUAAUUUGUCUAGCCAUGAAUGGAAAACAUUAAAAAAGCAUGUACUGAGGCAAGCUUGUUCACACAAUCCAAACUCCCCAUGUUUUAAGUCACUGUCCUCAUAUGGCUUAUAGUCUAAGGGGCGGGUUGACAGAACAAUGCAAAAGGAGAGGUGGGCAGAUACGGCUGCAUACUUACACAGCGGACAUUGAAAGAAGGGGGUGCUGGGGAGUGAGGAGCUGCCAGUUUAGAGGGUGUUCAGGGUAAGAUGGCCUUAAUGUGAUGUCUGAGCAGGAACCAGAGAGGUCAAGUGUGUCUGUCUUGGAGACACUAAGUACAAAAUUCCUUGGGAUGGAUACAACCUUAAUGUCUGAAUUACGAGCUUAGCCUGGAUGUGACUGGCAGACUGUGGAGAAGGGAGGAGGGCUGCAGAUCCAAUCAAUGGACUUGGCAGGGGUAGAGGAGCUAGAAGAGACAAUGGCUGAGCUCUAACAAGUUCUAAAGGUAAAGCUGGCAGGAUCUCCAGACAGAUGAACUGGUUUGGAAGAAGAGUAAAGAUGUGAAGAGACUAAAAGGCUGGACUUGGAGAAAGGAGGGAUGGCCUGCCUUGUGAAUCCAGAAGCGGCACCUGGAAAUACAUGGGAGAGCCAGGAAUGCAGAUUGGCUUGUUACAGGACCGUUCUGUAAAAACACCCAUUUCAAACUGGACAGCGCUUCCCUGAAACUUGAAGUAACCAAUGUCAGGAUUCACGUUCAUUUCCUAUGAUGUAAGAGGAACUUUGGGAGUUAAAUUCUAAGAGUCGCCUCAUGGUCUUUCACCUUUGAUCUUUCAGGCAUGAAAACUAAGAAAACAAGUAAAACCAGUGUUGUUCAAUGUUUUUUUUACUUUCCAUUAUUUCCAAAACAAGGAAAAAAAAAUGACAACAAAAUGAAAACAAAAAUCCCAACACCCCAAACCCUUAAGACUUAAAUAAACAGGAAAGUCUGCUUACUCCAUUACAAGUGUCAUGGAUCACAGCUAACACUUCAUUUCAGGGUUUUCUGGAUACUGCCACCUUAACUCUCUAAAAAACUGAAGCACGGACCCAUAUUCCACCCACCAAGAACAGCAAGACUUACUUCUCACUGUCAUGUCAAGAUUUGCUUUUAAUUACUGAAAGGUAAUGAUUAGCAUCCGAAGUUUUAUUUAGAUUUUUUUUUUUAAUCACCCAAGGUCUUUCCAUACUAACUAGCCAUUUUUCACUUUUUAAUUAUUUGGGGUACUAGAGAUCAACCCAAGACUCUAUCAGAGAUCUAAUCCAGGCCCCAUGCUUUCUUUUUGCCGAUUUGUGUUUGCCUUACCCAGAAUGAAUCCAUACAUUAAGAGCAAUAACCUCGCCAUAUAUUGCAAGUGUUUGUUACCUUCUGCUAUACGAAAGCUACAGAUGUUCUUCUUUGCUGCUUUUGAAAUUAAAUCACUCUUAAUUCAGUCACUGAAAAGAAACAGAACCAAACCCCAUCCCCCAAUUCCAUUUCCAGGCCUCAUAACCACGGAGUGAUGGGUGCAUGCAUGUAUGGCAGAUGCAGCUAAGUGCUGUCACAGUCAUGGCUUUCCUAGGUGUUCUUAUGAGGAGGAGGGGAGCUCCUGAGUCACUCACACAGACUUUCAGGAAGAGUUCAAAAUCCCACUCAGACCCUGAAAGCAUCGGGCUGGAAGGAGUGAAAGUGUCAGUGGAUCCCUGGAGGAACCUAGGAAACAAAGACCAGGCAAACCAGGGAAUACCUAAUCCAGUGGAGGCUACAACAUGCUGUGGGGAGCAUUAGUAAGACAAAACCCUCAAGUUUUCUCACCGUUCCUGUCAUUAAGUGGCCUGCAGCUGGCUUUCUUCCUGCCCAAAGCUUACCCAACAUAUUACAUUACUUGGAAAAUAAAAUGGGAGCUUCACAACUAGCCAUUUUCAUUUCCAUACUCCUGCAAUAUGUAAUGCUACCCCCCGCUGGAAGUUAAACAUAAGUCAACUGGUUGACUGAAGUUAUGUAAUCUGAGGGCAGAGCUUACAAUUUUCAGUCUUCUUAUGUGGUUAGAGAAUAUAACAGUUAGAAACCCUUUAAGGUUAAAACUUCUAGAAAUCAGACUUCAGGAAGAAUUCAGUCUUACCUUCAUUAGCAACAAAUCACUCUUUAACUUGCUGCAUGUUCUAAAUAUUUGAAAAUUCAUUAUGAAAUCCUUGGCAUAAAUAAUUUAAGGACAGGAGUGGAAUAUAUGUAUAUACUUGGUGUCAUAUAUACUUUGUAUGCUCCUGUACCUUUCUGCACAGGGAGAUAAAGUGUGACAUUACUACACUUAUCACACACAUAGAAAUCUGAAACUAUAAACUGAGGGUUCACUCCCCUUUCCUCCUAAAUUUCAAUGGCACUUGGAUAUUUCAAAGUGUCUAGUCACCUCAUUAAUCCUGGGCUCCCACCUUACAAGUGCUAAAACGUCAGUGACGAAAGUUAUUUGGGCAAAGACCAACAGACAAUGUAAAACAGUUUGAUAAAGUAUAAAUCCCUACACAGCCCUCAAAGCUAUUGGGGGAAGAAAAUAAGGUAUACAUAUUUAGUUAACUUGAUUUAAUAUGGCAAUAAGUUAUUUUGAUAAAAAUGACAAAUUCAAACUCAAGUAUUUUUGAUUUCAUAGAGGUAACAAGCACUCUGUCAUCUGGAACUUCAGCAAACAAUAAAUUCAACACAUUUCCCUGUUAAAUAUCUACCAUUGUAUUCUUUCAGCAACCUCGUAGUGGGCAAAGGUAAAACACAUCUUUUCCCUAUCCAACUGACAGUGCUCCUAAGUCAGUACUUGCCGGCUUUCAGAAUGUCAGGUGUUUUCCUGAGCCUACAUUUUGUGUAACUCACUAUCACUCCUCUGUGAACUAUUACCUGUAUUAACUCACUCCCAGGUGAUGCUGAUAAAGGGGACACCUGGAACUCACAUUCUUAAGAAGAAACAAGAAGUGAACAGCACUGGGCUGUGCUGUUACACAGCAUCUUCCAUGGCUCACAUGGCUGAGGACUACUGUAAAGCACACUCAAGAAUUUAAGAGUUAAAAACGAGCCAGGUGCACACAUAAGCUUGGCACUCAGAGGCCUGAGGAGGUCAGCCUGAGUGACACAGCCUGUCUCAAAAACAAACGAAAAGAGCACAGUUCAAGUCUUUUUUUUUUUU